rnacentral:lncRNA from 1 species
CCUCAUUCUCUCCCCCUCCUCCCUGCAGGGACAGCCUCCACCCUUACACACACACAGACCCCUGCAGGGACAGCCUCCGCCCCGAGGGCAGGGAGUGAGGGGAAUGGGGAUGGAACAGGUUGGAGGCAGGCACGCUAUGCUAGCAGUGCAGUCAAGGGUGAAGAAGAGCAGGCCUGGGAGAGGGUGUGAAGAACCCUAGUACCAGAGGAGGAGCAGAGAUGGGAGUUUGGGAGCACAGAAUUAUUGCAUGAGAAUGGGGGAGAUGCUCUGGAGUCACCUCUGAGUCCCAUCCCCACCCUGCAGCAGACCCACCUUUCACUGGAACCUGCCCAGAAAGGCAGGAGCUGUGUGCUGCAGCUGCUGAGCCAUGAGCAGCAGGAGCCAGAGCAGAGGGAGGAGAUGUCUGUGGGCUCUGGCACCGGAAAUCCCCGUGGGUUACAACUGCAGCGAUGCUAACCCCCCGGGCACAGCCCGAGCUGCUGCUUCAGCAAGACAAGAUGUGGGGGGAGGGGGUCUCCACCAAGGCUCGGGAAAUGAAGCAGUAAGACUGGUGCCAUCAGGAUCGGGGCAGGAGACAUUGCCUGGAUCCACUCUGGAGCAGCUGCAACCAGUGUGGGCAUCUGCCCUGAAUCCAGAGUCACUCCAGUCUGGGAUCAAGGAUUUUUCACCAUAGGAGAAAAUUGUGUUUCCCACCCAUGGGCUCCUCUAGCUAUAACUGCAGUGACAUUUCAGGUCUGGGACAGCUGCAAGGCACUGGUGCAAUGUGGGGGCUUGUCGGGGCACUGGUCCUGUCGCAUCUGGUGUCCCUGUUGUGGAAUAUUUUCUGCUGCGUGAGACACACGGCACACAGAGAUGAGUCCAGGAAGCUCUUGCCUCAGUUCAGCAGAAGUGUGAAGCAUGUGACUGAGGAGAUUCCAGUUUAUGGCAACAUCAGUUACCUGCAGACAGGGCAAAGUUCUGGGUUUGAAAGCUCAGUGGUUCCAGAGUCCCAGAAAAAGCAGGAAUCCAGCCCCAAGCCUACAUGCUACGCCAACUUCAAGAUGCUGAAACCCCAAGGCCGGCAGCUGCCAGAAUCAUCAGUGGGGGGUGCUGAGAUCCAGUACACAGAUGUGGUGGUGACGGGGCCCAGGCGGUCAGAGCCAGAGAUUUGGGGCGGGGGGCCCCUGAAGGGCAGAGAGGCUACUCGGCCGCAGUCAGAGCUUUAUGCGUCUGUUCAUGCAGACAGCUACACAGCGAAGUUUGAGAACCAAGACUACGCUAACAACCAUGGGGUUCCCAGCUGAAGGGUGGGGGGCUAACGGAGUUCUGUGUGCAUGAUCCAUAGCAAUAAAUUUAGGCUUCACUAAUGGCUCCA